rnacentral:rRNA from 1 species
GCUCAGGAUGAACGCUGGCGGCGUGCCUAACACAUGCAAGUCGAACGGACUUUUCAUGAAGCCUAGCGAUUGAAAAGUUAGUGGCGGACGGGUGAGUAACGCGUGGGUAACCUGCCUUGUACUGGGGGACAACAGUUGGAAACGACUGCUAAUACCGCAUAAGCGCACAGCUUCGCAUGAAGCAGUGUGAAAAGCUCCGGUGGUACAAGAUGGACCCGCGUCUGAUUAGCUGGUUGGUGAGGUAACGGCCCACCAAGGCGACGAUCAGUAGCCGGCCUGAGAGGGUGAACGGCCACAUUGGGACUGAGACACGGCCCAAACUCCUACGGGAGGCAGCAGUA